rnacentral:rRNA from 1 species
GAUGAACGCUGGCGGCGUGCCUAAUACAUGCAAGUCGAGCGAACGGACGAGAAGCUUGCUUCUCUGAUGUUAGCGGCGGACGGGUGAGUAACACGUGGAUAACCUACCUAUAAGACUGGGAUAACUUCGGGAAACCGGAGCUAAUACCGGAUAAUAUUUUGAACCGCAUGGUUCAAACGUGAAAGACGGUCUUGCUGUCACUUAUAGAUGGAUCCGCGCUGCAUUAGCUAGUUGGUAAGGUAACGGCUUACCAAGGCAACGAUGCAUAGCCGACCUGAGAGGGUGAUCGGCCACACUGGAACUGAGACACGGUCCAGACUCCUACGGGAGGCAGCAGUAGGGAAUCUUCCGCAAUGGGCGAAAGCCUGACGGAGCAACGCCGCGUGAGUGAUGAAGGUCUUCGGAUCGUAAAACUCUGUUAUUAGGGAAGAACAUAUGUGUAAGUAACUGUGCACAUCUUGACGGUACCUAAUCAGAAAGCCACGGCUAACUACGUG